rnacentral:rRNA from 1 species
UGAGGAAUAUUGCACAAUGGGCGCAAGCCUGAUGCAGCAACGCCGCGUGCGGGACGAAGGCCUUCGGGUCGUAAACCGCUUUUCUGGGGGAAGAGCAAGGACGGUACCUCAGGAAUAAGUCUCGGCUAACUACGUGCCAGCAGCCGCGGUAAAACGUAGGAGGCGAGCGUUAUCCGGAUUUACUGGGCGUAAAGCGCACGCAGGCGGCUCUGUUAGUCGGACGUGAAAGCUCUCGGCUUAACCGGGAGAGGCCGUUCGAUACUGCGGGGCUUGAGGUAGGGAGAGGAAUGCGGAAUUCCCGGUGUAGUGGUGGAAUGCGUAGAUAUCGGGAAGAACACCUGUGGCGAAAGCGGCAUUCUGGCCCUCACCUGACGCUGAGGUGCGAAAGCGUGGGUAGCAAACA